AGUGGGAUAACUGGGUCAAAUGGUGGUUUCAUUCCAAGUUUUCUGAGAACUCUCCAUACUGCUUUCCAGAGUGGUUGCACCAGUUUGCAGUCCCACCAGCAAU
rnacentral:pre_miRNA from 1 species